GACGAACGCUGGCGGCGUGCUUAACACAUGCAAGUCGAACGGAAAGGCCCUGCUUUUGUGGGGUGCUCGAGUGGCGAACGGGUGAGUAACACGUGAGUAACCUGCCCUUGACUUUGGGAUAACUUCAGGAAACUGGGGCUAAUACCGGAUAGGAGCUCCUGCUGCAUGGUGGGGGUUGGAAAGUUUCGGCGGUUGGGGAUGGACUCGCGGCUUAUCAGCUUGUUGGUGGGGUAGUGGCUUACCAAGGCUUUGACGGGUAGCCGGCCUGAGAGGGUGACCGGCCACAUUGGGACUGAGAUACGGCCCAGACUCCUACGGGAGGAAGCAGUGGGGAAUAUUGCACAAUGGGGGGAAGCCUGAUGAAGCAAGGCCGCGGGCGGGAUGACGGCCUUCGGGUUGUAAACCGCUUCCGCCUGUGCCGAAGCGUGAGUGACGGUAAUGGGUAAAGAAGAACCGGCUAACUACGUG
rnacentral:rRNA from 1 species